CCUACGGGCGGCAGCAGUGAGGAAUAUUGGUCAAUGGACGAGAGCCUGAACCAGCCACGUAGCGUGAAGGAUUACUGCCCUGGGGGUUGUAAACCUCUUUUAUAGAGGAAUAACACGACGCUCGCGUGCCUGUAUGCAUGUACUUUGUGAAUAAGGAUCGGCUAAAUCCGGGCCAGCAGCCGCGGUAAUUCGGAGGAUCCGAGCGUUAUCCGGAGUGUUUUGGUUUAAAGGGAGCGGAGAUGGGUCGGUAAGUCCGGUGGGAAAGUUUGCGGCUCAACCGUCAAAUUGCAAGUGGGACUGGCAGUCUUGAGUGCAGUAGAGGUAAGUGGAAUUCGUGGUGUAGCGGUGAAAUGCUUAGAUAUCACGAAGAACCCCGAUUGCGAAGGCAGCUUACUAGACUGCGACUGACACUGAGGCACGAAAGUGUGGGUAUCAAACAGGAUUAGAUACCCGAGUAGUC
rnacentral:rRNA from 1 species